rnacentral:rRNA from 1 species
UAAGGUUAAGUUAAUAAGGGCGCACGGUGGAUGCCUUGGCACUAGAAGCCGAAGAAGGACGUGACUAACGACGAAAUGCUUUGGGGAGCUGUAAGUAAGCGCUGAUCCAGAGAUGUCCGAAUGGGGGAACCCACUAGUUAAUGACUAGUAUCCAUAUCUGUUAAGGAUAUGAGAAGGAAGACGCAGUGAACUGAAACAUCUAAGUAGCUGCAGGAAGAGAAAGCAAAAGCGAUUGCCUUAGUAGCGGCGAGCGAAACGGCAGGAGGGCAAACCGAAGUGUUUACACUUCGGGGUUGUAGGACUGCGAUAUAGGAUUAAUCAUUAUAGAAGAAUUACCUGGGAAGGUAAGCCAAAGAGAGUAACAGCCUCGUAUUUAAAAUGAUAGAUUAACCUUAGCAGUAUCCUGAGUACGGCGAGACACGCGAAAUCUCGUCGGAAUCUGGGAGGACCAUCUCCCAACCCUAAAUACUCUCUAGUGACCGAUAGUGAACCAGUACCGUGAGGGAAAGGUGAAAAGCACCCCGGGAGGGGAGUGAAAUAGAACCUGAAACCGUGUGCCUACAACAAGUUCGAGCCCGUUAAUGGGUGAGAGCGUGCCUUUUGUAGAAUGAACCGGCGAGUUACGAUAUGAUGCGAGGUUAAGUUGAAGAGACGGAGCCGUAGGGAAACCGAGUCUUAAUAGGGCGUCAUAGUAUCAUGUUGUAGACCCGAAACCAUGUGACCUACCCAUGAGCAGGUUGAAGGUGAGGUAAAACUCACUGGAGGACCGAACCAGGGCACGUUGAAAAGUGCUUGGAUGACUUGUGGGUAGCGGAGAAAUUCCAAACGAACUUGGAGAUAGCUGGUUCUCUCCGAAAUAGCUUUAGGGCUAGCGUCGAUGUUAAGUCUCUUGGAGGUAGAGCACUGUUUGGGUGAGGGGUCCAUCCCGGAUUACCAAUCUCAGAUAAACUCCGAAUGCCAACGAGAUAUAAUCGGCAGUCAGACUGCGAGUGCUAAGAUCCGUAGUCGAAAGGGAAACAGCCCAGACCACCAGCUAAGGUCCCAAAAUAUAUGUUAAGUGGAAAAGGAUGUGGGGUUGCACAGACAACUAGGAUGUUAGCUUAGAAGCAGCUAUUCAUUCAAAGAGUGCGUAAUAGCUCACUAGUCGAGUGACCCUGCGCCGAAAAUGUACCGGGGCUAAAACAUAUUACCGAAGCUGUGGAUGACACAAAAGUGUCAUGGUAGGAGAGCGUUCUAUGUGUGAAGAAGGUGUACCGUGAGGAGCGCUGGAACGCAUAGAAGUGAGAAUGCCGGUAUGAGUAGCGCAAGACAGGUGAGAAUCCUGUCCACCGUAAGACUAAGGUUUCCAGGGGAAGGCUCGUCCGCCCUGGGUUAGUCGGGACCUAAGGAGAGACCGAAAGGUGUAUCCGAUGGACAACAGGUUGAUAUUCCUGUACUAGAGUAUAUAGUGAUGGAGGGACGCAGUAGGCUAACUAAACCAGACGAUUGGAAGUGUCUGGUCAAACAGUGAGGUGUGAUAUGAGUCAAAUGCUUAUAUCUUUAACAUUGAGCUGUGACGAGGAGCGAAGUUUAGUAGCGAAGUUAGUGAUGUCACACUGCCAAGAAAAGCUUCUAGCGAUACAUAUACUCUACCCGUACCGCAAACCGACACAGGUAGUCGAGGCGAGUAGCCUCAGGUGAGCGAGAGAACUCUCGUUAAGGAACUCGGCAAAAUGGCCCCGUAACUUCGGGAGAAGGGGCGCUGAUUUUAGAUCAGCCGCAGUGAAUAGGCCCAAGCAACUGUUUAUCAAAAACACAGCUCUCUGCUAAAUCGUAAGAUGAUGUAUAGGGGGUGACGCCUGCCCGGUGCUGGAAGGUUAAGAGGAGUGCUUAGCGUAAGCGAAGGUAUGAAUUGAAGCCCCAGUAAACGGCGGCCGUAACUAUAACGGUCCUAAGGUAGCGAAAUUCCUUGUCGGGUAAGUUCCGACCCGCACGAAAGGCGUAAUGAUUUGGGCACUGUCUCAACGAGAGACUCGGUGAAAUUUUAGUACCUGUGAAGAUGCAGGUUACCCGCGACAGGACGGAAAGACCCCAUGGAGCUUUACUGCAGUUUGAUAUUGAGUAUCUGUACCACAUGUACAGGAUAGGUAGGAGCCUAUGAUAACGGGACGCCAGUUUCGUUUGAGGCGUUGUUGGGAUACUACCCUUGUGUUAUGGCUACUCUAACCCAGAUAGGCAAUCCCUAUCGGAGACAGUGUCUGACGGGCAGUUUGACUGGGGCGG